UACGAAGGGGGCUAGCGUUGCUCGGAAUCACUGGGCGUAAAGGGUGCGUAGGCGGGUCUUUAAGUCAGGGGUGAAAUCCUGGAGCUCAACUCCAGAACUGCCUUUGAUAGUGAAGAUCUUGAGUUCGGGAGAGGUGAGUGGAACUGCGAGUGUAGAGGUGAAAUUCGUAGAUAUUCGCAAGAACACCAGUGGCGAAGGCGACUUACUGGACACAUAUUGACGCUGAGGUGCGAAAGCGUGGGGAGCAAACAGG
rnacentral:rRNA from 1 species